rnacentral:tRNA from 1 species
GCCCCCAUGGCUCAAUGGAUAGAGCACCGGACUUCUAAUCCGAUGGUUGUGGGUUCGAAUCCCGCUGGGGGCACCA